GAAAGUUCAUCUAAAUCAGGCCACUACUCUGAUGUCUGAUGUACGAGUAUCCACUGGUCACAUACAUGAACUCAGUGUUCUGGCGCACAGAUCACAGUCGUUUUCCGGGACUCAAACUUACCUUGAGGGGGUCGCUUUAGGAGCAGGGGCCUAUAGUGUUGAAGAUCAUGUCAAGGGAGCGAGGUAGAAGUCCACCCUGGCCUGGAGAGCCAGUCAUAGUGAACGUCUUUCCAC